GAUGAAGAACGCAGCGAAAUGCGAUAAGUAAUGUGAAUUGCAGAAUUCAGUGAAUCAUCGAAUCUUUGAACGCAUCUUGCGCUCCUUGGUAUUCUGAGGAGCAUGCCUGUUUGAGUGUCAUUAAAUUCUCAACUACACUGACUUUGAAUUGGUGUGGCUUGGAUUUGGGGGGAAAAUUGUUGUGGGCUUUUUGUAUAGUCUGCUCCCCUGAAAUUGAUUAGCGGUACCUUUGUGGAACUGUCUACAGGUGUGAUAAUUAUCUACAUCUUAGACAUCUGCUGGAAUGCUGCUUUCUAAACCUUACUUGUAUUGACAAUCUUGACCUCAAAUCAGGUAGGACUACCCGCUGAACUUAAGCAUAUCAUAAGCGGAGGA
rnacentral:misc_RNA from 1 species